AGCACCUGUGUGUCUUUAAUUUAUAACAAAGCCUAGAGACAGGUGCAAAUAGUAAAUUCUCUCUUGUAACCCAGAACUCAUUGUUGAGUAAGUUUUGGUACAUGUACAAAGGAACGUG
ensembl:snoRNA